rnacentral:rRNA from 1 species
GGGGAAUUUUCCGCAAUGGGCGAAAGCCUGACGGAGCAAGACCGCGUGGGGGAUGAAGGUUUGUGGAUUGUAAACCCCUUUUGAUUGGGAAGAAUACUGACGGUACCAAUCGAAUAAGCCUCGGCUAACUCCGUGCCAGCAGCCGCGGUAAUACGGAGGAGGCAAGCGUUAUCCGGAAUUAUUGGGCGUAAAGCGUCCGUAGGUGGUUUAGUAAGUCUGCUGUUAAAGCGCGGGGCUUAACUCCGNUAUCGGCAGUGGAAACUACUAGACUAGAGUGUGGUAGGGGUAGAGGGAAUUCCCAGUGUAGCGGUGAAAUGCGUAGAUAUUGGGAAGAACACCGGUGGCGAAAGCGCUCUACUGGGCCAUAACUGACACUGAUGGACGAAAGCUAGGGGAGCGAAAGGGAUUAGAUACCCCU